AUGUGCACGUCCUCACAUCUGAUGGGCGUGACAGCGCUCUUGGCCCAGUUCGUUCGCAAGCCUGUCGCCGAAUGGAAGGUGCCGAGUAGGCUAAUCGCAGCAUGGAGUUCUUUCCUUGAGGGAUUGAUGAAAGCUAUCAUGUCGUCAGCGUACAUGGACACUCGGAAAGGCAUGACCUGCUUCCCAAUAUCUGCCAGGACCUUGCUUCUGCAGGCCGCAUCGAAAAGGGCAGCUAGGGCAUCCAUGGCAAGGACUGUUAAAGUAUUCCUUUUGUCUGUAUUUUAUGUAAUAGGAAACUAG
rnacentral:rRNA from 1 species